rnacentral:lncRNA from 14 species
CAUACACUGAGCUCAAAGAUGAGCAACACUGCAAAUGGAUCUUUUCACUUCCAGGAAAAUACCGUUCAUAUUUUUUAAACAUUUGGUUCCAUUGUUUUCUCUGUAAGCCCUUUGAAUAACUAGCGUCUUUCUCGUUUUUUAGGUUGUACUUAUCUACAGAACUAGAAAACCCCCAUUUUUUCCCAUCCGUUUAUAACUUCGUUACUAUCAUCAACUUCACGGUGACAUUCCAAGGCUUGCAAGAUGAACUCCUGUCUACAGUAGUAAGUCACGAAGUUCCGCACUUAGAAAAUCAACGGGCCCAGUUAUUGGAGAGCAUUUCUCUUGAUGCCAUAACUCUGGAGGAACUGGAGGAUAAAACAUUGACCUUGCUCCAGAAAACAGAAGGAAGUGUGUUAGAUGAUGAAGAGAUUGUAGAAACCCUGAGAAAAUCCAAAAUUACUUCCAAUGAGAUUUCCAAACGCAUCAAAAAAACAGAAAAAGCAGAGAGUGAAAUUCAAGCAACUCGCAAGAACUACCUUCCCAUCGCCACGCGGGGCGCCCUGCUUUACUUCGUGGUGGCCAGCCUCAGGCAGGUGGGGUAUAUGUACCAGUUCUCCCUGGAGUGGCUCCGGAAGGUUUUUGUUUCCUCUACAGUUUCCAAAACCAAAGACGAAAAGCCUGAUUGGAAGACAGAUGACACUUCUCAGGAAAAAGUCGAUGAGGUUUCCCUAAGUCCCUCAGACCAAGAGAACCUGGAGAGUGAGAGGACUCCCUUAGCUGAGAAUAUCAAAAAUGUGAUAGACACGCUGACAAGAAAUGUGUUUAAGGUGGUCUCUUCGGCUCUAUUUAAUGAGCAUAAACUCUGCUUCUCCUUCCGACUUUGCACGACCAUCAUGAGGGAUCAUUCCAGUGACACUCUGACAGCAGACGACAUAGGAUUCCUACCAGAAGAGGAAUGGAACAUCUUUUUAUAUACUGGCAUUUUGAUAAAUAUUAAAAAUAUAUUCUCCAAGCCUAGACUAAAUAGUAAGUACAAGUAAUGUCUCUGAAUGUAUUUAAAAAACACUAAAAUAUGUUUCCUUGUAAAAUAUUAAAAGGUUUUGAGGGUUUCUACUCUGUAAUUGAGCUAAGUUCUAUA